GACGAACGCUGGCGGCGUGCCUAAUACAUGCAAGUAGAACGCUGAAGGAGGAGCUUGCUCUUCUGGAUGAGUUGCGAACGGGUGAGUAACGCGUAGGUAACCUGCCUGGUAGCGGGGGAUAACUAUUGGAAACGAUAGCUAAUACCGCAUAAGAGUAGAUGUUGCAUGACAUUUGCUUAAAAGGUGCAAUUGCAUCACUACCAGAUGGACCUGCGUUGUAUUAGCUAGUUGGUGGGGUAACGGCUCACCAAGGCGACGAUACAUAGCCGACCUGGGAGGGUGAUCGGCCACACUGGGACUGAGACACGGCCCAGACUCCUACGGGAGGCAGCAGUAGGGAAUCUUCGGCAAUGGACGGAAGUCUGACCGAGCAACGCCGCGUGAGUGAAGAAGGUUUUCGGAUCGUAAAGCUCUGUUGUAAGAGAAGAACGAGUGUGAGAGUGGAAAGUUCUCACUGUGGCGGUAUCUUACCAGAAAGGGACGGCUAACUACGUG
rnacentral:rRNA from 1 species